AGCCAUGCAUGUCUCAGUAUGAGUGCUUCUACAGCGAAACUGCGAAUGGCUCAUUAAAUCAGUUACGGUUUAUUUGAUGACUUGUGACACGGAUAACUGGGGAAAUUCUUCAGCCAAUACGUGCUUCUAAGCCGACUUUGUGGAAGGUGAGUAUUUGCUCGAUUCUGAACCAACCCAGAUCUUCUGGGCUUUAAGUUGAGCGGAGAGUAAAUCUGUCCAAUCGCAUUGCACCGCGAUGCGAUGCAUCAUUCAAGUUUCUGACCUAUCAGCUUCCGAUUGUAGGGUAUUGGCUUACCAUGGCGAUGACGGGUAACAGCGAAUUAGGGUUCAGUUCUGGAGAGGGAGCCUGAGAAACGGCUACCACAUCUAAGGAAGGCAGCAGGCGCGUAACUUACCCAAUUCUGACACGGAGAGGUAGUGACAAGAAAUAACGAUACAGGGCAUUCAUGUCUUGUACUUGGGCUGAGUAGAAUGUAAACGACUCUAUGAGUAUCAAUUGGAGGG
rnacentral:rRNA from 1 species